UACAGAGGUCUCAAGCGUUGUUCGGAUUCAUUGGGCGUAAAGGGUGCGUAGGCGGCGCGGUAAGUCGGAUGUGAAAUCCCCAGGCUCAACUUGGGAACUGCAUCCGAUACUGGAUGGCUUGAAUUCGGGAGAGGGAUGCAGAAUUCCAGGUGUAGCGGUGAAAUGCGUAGAUAUCUGGAGGAAUACCGGUGGCGAAGGCGGCAUCCUGGACCGACAUUGACGCUGAGGAGCGAAAGCUAGGGGAGCAAACGGG
rnacentral:rRNA from 1 species